rfam:Felis catus isolate Cinnamon breed Abyssinian chromosome D1, whole genome shotgun sequence.
GGAUGUGUAGGCCAUCUGGGUGAAACAUCUGUCGCAUCACUGAUCGCCUGGGUUGACUCCAUUGAUCUGGUUGUCUAGGCUCUUGUCCCCUUUCUCCCUUACUCCUCUAUAUGCAUUCCUUCUGAAGCUACAUGAUUGGUCAAAGAGGAUAACCUUCCCAGAUAGAAUAUGGUUCUUUGGCCAAGAGUAUAUGGGUAGCUGUGCUUCUCUACUAGAACCUCUAAACAAGCUUUCUAAAAUCAAUGAGAUAACAAUCAUGAAGUACUUAAUAGAGCGCCUGGCCCUUAAAAGAUGGGAAGUGAGGAAACAGGAUUCUAAAUCUAGGCUGUCUGACAGU